rnacentral:rRNA from 1 species
GAUGAACGCUGGCGGCGUGCCUGAUACAUGCAAGUCGAACGGACCAGCAACCGGCGACUGGCUAAUGGCUUCGGCCUGCAGCCAAGAGCCCUGCUGGUUAGUGGCGGACGGGUGAGUAACACGUAGGUGACCUGCCCCGAAGUGGGGGACAACUACUGGAAACGGUAGCUGAUACCCCAUGUGAUCCGUCAUUCGGUUGGCGGAUUAAAGCUCCGGCGCUUCGGGAUGGGCCUGCGGCCGAUUAGCUAGUUGGUGGGGUAAUGGCCUACCAAGGCGAUGAUCGGUAGCUGGUCUGAGAGGAUGGUCAGCCACACUGGCACUGAGAUACGGGCCAGACUCCUACGGGAGGCAGCAGUAAGGGAUAUUGCGCAAUGGGGGAAACCCUGACGCAGCAACGCCGCGUGGGCGAUGAAGGUCUUCGGAUUGUAAAGCCCUUUUCUGGGGGAUGAGAAAGGACAGUACCUCAGGAAUAAGUCUCGGCUAACUACGUGCCAGCAGCCGCGGUAAAACGUAGGAGGCAAGCGUUAUCCGGAUUUAUUGGGCGUAAAGGGCGUCUAGGCGGUGUCUUAAGUUGGGCGUGAAAUCUCCCGGCUCAACUGGGAGGGGCCGUUCAAUACUGAGACACUUGAGGGCAGGGGAGGAAAGUGGAAUUCCCGGUGUAGUGGUGGAAUACUUAGAUAUCGGGAGGAACACCAGUGGCGAAGGCGGCUUUCUGGCCUGCACCUGACGCUGAAGCGCGAAAGCGUGGGUAGCGAACGGGAUUAGAUACCCCGGUAGUCCACGCCGUAAACGAUGGAUACUAGGUGUUGGUGGUAUUGACCCCAUCAGUGCCGUAGUUAACGCGUUAAGUAUCCCGCCUGGGGACUACGGCCGCAAGGCUA